rnacentral:rRNA from 1 species
UACGAAGGGGGCUAGCGUUGUUCGGAAUUAUUGGGCGUAAAGAGCACGUAGGCGGCCCUGCAAGUCAGUUGUGAAAGCCUUCCGCUUAACGGGAGAACGGCAGCUGAUACUACGGGGCUAGAGUACGGGAGGGGAGAGUGGAACUUCUGGUGGAGCGGUGAAAUGCGUAGAUAUCAGAAGGAACGCCGGCGGCGAAAGCGACUCUCUGGACCGAAACUGACGCUGAGUGUGCGAAAGCUAGGGGAGCAAACGGG